rnacentral:rRNA from 1 species
AGUCGAACGAGAAUGUGUAGCAAUACACAUGUACAGUGGCGAACGGGUGAGGACUACAUGGGUAACCUACCCUCGAGUGGGGAAUAACUAGCCGAAAGGUUAGCUAAUACCGCGUACGCCUCCCGGACUGCGGUUCGGGAGGGAAAGCGAUACCGUGGGUAUCGCGCUCUUGGAUGGGCUCAUGCCCUAUCAGCUUGUUGGUGAGGUAACGGCUCACCAAGGCAUCGACGGGUAGCUGAUCUGAGAGGAUGAUCAGCCACACUGGCACUGCGACACGGGCCAGACUCCUACGGGAGGCAGCAGUAAGGAAUAUUGCGCAAUGGGCGAAAGCCUGACGCAGCGACGCCGCGUGGGGGAUGAAGGUCUUCGGAUUGUAAACCCCUUUCGGGAGGGAAGAUGGAAUAGGGUAACCUAUUCGGACGGUACCUCCAGAAGCAGCCACGGCUAACUUCGUGCCAGCAGCCGCGGUAAUACGAAGGUGGCAAGCGUUGUUCGGAUUUACUGGGCGUACAGGGAGCGUAGGCGG